rnacentral:misc_RNA from 1 species
GAUGAAGAACGCAGCGAAAUGCGAUAAGUAGUGUGAAUUGCAGAAUUCAGUGAAUCAUCGAAUCUUUGAACGCACCUUGCGCCCUUUGGCUAUUCUGAAGGGCAUGCCUGUUUGAGUAUCAUGAACACCUCAACUCUCAUGGUCCGCCAUGAUGAGCUUGGACUUUGGGGGUCUUGCCGGCCGAUCGCCGGCUCCUCUCAAAUGAAUCAGCUUGCCAGUGUUUGGUGGCAUCACGGGUGUGAUAACUAUCUACGCUUGUGGUUUCCCACCAGGUAACCUCCAGUGAUGGGGGUUCGCUGAAGCUCACAAACGUCUCUCCUCUGCGGAGACAGCUUUUCGACGUUUGAUCUCAAAUCAGGUAGGACUACCCGCUGAACUUAAGCAUAUCAAUAAGCGGAGGA